UAUGAAUACCUGUCGUGCUAUAAAUGUCAUUUUCAUCGCAUUAAACUCAGGGUUUUGAAAACCGCUCCCCAUAAAAUGGUGAAAUUCACAGCAAAGGAAAACAUCUCUGUGCUGGUGAAAUCUUAAUGAUUCAGUGAUCUCAUGCUGACAGAGGAGAUGACAAUUUUUAUAUUUUCUUGAAAAAUACUAGUCGGCAACAGACACGGGGACUGACACGUUUUGAAGCCCAGCUGGCGGCACAAAACAUUUGCUGAGCCUCGCCCGGUUGCUCCCAUCGAUGGAACAUCCAUAGCUACCCAACCACAGAGCAAGUUUUUUCCUUGAGGGCAUCACCUGAGGACAUCACCUGAGGACACCAUCUGGAGUAUCACCUGAGGGCAUCAGUGGAAGUCUGCUGGACAGUCCGUAUUGGUGGCGCACCUGACUCAGCCUGGACAGUGGCUAAGUGUCAGUGCUGUUUUAAGGCUUUGGCUGUUUUCUUCUUCUGACUAAGAUGUCUAGGUAGAUAAGCUCCUGAAUCUGGGAUCACCUGCAGACCAUCCUGUGCCUUCAAAUACCGGUCUCUGUCAGAGAGAUACAGGGAGAAUCUCUGCCCUCAUCUGAGGAAACUGGCCUCCAAACCUAAAAAGAAGUAGUGAAAAAUCUAGUUAAACGUAAUAUAAUGUAAGCGUACUGAGGGGGAGAAGUCAAGAUGGUGGAAUAGGAGGACGUGGAAUUCGUCUCUCCUCACAAGUACAUCAGGAGCACGUCUACAAAUGGAACAGUUCUCACAGAGCACCUGCUGAACAUUAGUGGAAGACUUCAGACACCUAAAAGGACAAGAAAAAUCCCCUCGCCACUGGGUAGGAUGAAAGAAAGAAACAAGAAAAGAGGAAUCGGGAAGGGACCAGCAGCCCUGGUGGGGAGCUGAAGGUGAGGGGAGGUCCCCGCGCUCAGAGAAACCCCUCACAGCAGGGGAAUCAGCUGGGACAGAAAGGGACCUUCAGGAGAUUGGAGGGGAGUGCAGGAGAUGGUCUGUGGAAGACAGGACAGAGUAAGAACUGUACACAUGGUCUGUGCUGCAGCACUGCACACCCCAGCCUGUGUCAUGAGUCUCCCGGUGCGGAGGGGGACUGGGUGCUGGAAAGUGGGGUGUGGAGUGUGGACCCAGGGAGGGGACAGCUGCUGGCUGUGAAGAGGCAGCCUGAAGGGACAGGAGUAAGGAGCUCCACAGUCAGGAAAGUUUGCGGAAGCAGCCUGGGACACCACAGAGGCAAGGCAUCACUGUUGAGUGGCUCGCAAGGGGUGGGCCACCACCACAGCACCCUUCCCCACCCACUGGCCUCUUCAGCUCCGUGGGCACUGGGAGGGACUCCCAUCUGAGUCAGCCUCACCCACCCCUCAAGCCAAGGCCGCCUCCGCCUGCACAGACUCCGAGGUCCUGAGCGCAGCCCAUGCCAAAGCCUCCUUGGGAAUCAGCCCUGGGGGCCCCGGCCUGAGGCAGGAAGCCACCGAUGCUGGCGGGGGCUGAGUGCUAAAGCGUGGGCUUAGGAGAGCGGAUCUGGGGAGAGGACCACCGUUGGCUGCGUGGUUACAACA